rnacentral:misc_RNA from 1 species
GUGAGUCAUCGAAUCUUUGAACGCACAUUGCGCCCCCUGGUAUUCCGGGGGGCAUGCCUGUCCGAGCGUCAUUGCUGCCCUUCAAGCCCGGCUUGUGUGUUGGGUCGUCGUCCCCUCCGGGGGACGGGCCCGAAAGGCAGCGGCGGCACCGUGUCCGGUCCUCGAGCGUAUGGGGCUUUGUCACCCGCUCGAUUAGGGCUGGCCGGGCGUCUGUCGACCCUCCAACCAUUUUUUCUCAGGUUGACCUCGGAUCAGGUAGGGAUACCCGCUGAACUUAAGCAUAUCAAUAAGCGGAGGA